rnacentral:rRNA from 1 species
AUUGAACGCUGGCGGCAUGCCUUACACAUGCAAGUCGAACGGCAGCACGGGAGCAAUCCUGGUGGCGAGUGGCGAACGGGUGAGUAAUAUAUCGGAACGUGCCCAGUCGUGGGGAUAACGUAGCGAAAGCUACGCUAAUACCGCAUACGAUCUAUGGAUGAAAGCGGGGGAUCGCAAGACCUCAUGCUCCUGGAGCGGCCGAUAUCUGAUUAGCUAGUUGGUGGGGUAAAGGCCUACCAAGGCAUCGAGUCAGUAGCUGGUCUGAGAGGACGACCAGCCACACUGGAACUGAGACACGGUCCAGACUCCUACGGGAGGCAGCAGUGGGGGAAUAUUGGACAAUGGGCGCAAGCCUGAUCCAGCAAUGCCGCGUGCAGGAUGAAGGCCUCGGUUGUAACGU